AUGGGAAAGUGUGUGUCCUGGGACCAGCAUCAGAUCUUUUGGGGCUGCCCUGUGGUUCCAACACAGCUGUUCAGUAAGGACUAUUCACUCAAAGAAAUCCAGGCCUUGGGGCUGGGCCCUGUGCUCACUGAUGGGGACUUAGCAGCUGUGUCCUCUCUGGCCUGGCAGAAUUCCCUGAGCAGGGACCUGUGUAUGGUCUCAACAGAGCAGUGUCACCAUGCCUGGACUCCUCUCCUCUUCCUGCUCCUCUCUCACUGCACAGGUUCCCUCUCCCAGUCUGUGGUGACUCAGCCGCCUCCCUCUCAGCAUCUCCUGGAGCAUCAGCCAGACUCACCUGCACCUUGCGCAGUGGCAUCAAUGUUGGUAGCUACAGGAUAUCCUGGUACCAGCAGAAGCCAGGGAGUCCUCCCCAGUAUCUCCUGAACUACUACUCAGACUCAGAUAAGGGCCAGGGCUCUGGAGUCCCCAGCCGCUUCUCUGGAUCCAAAGAUGCUUCGACCAAUGCAGGGAUUUCACUCAUCUCCGGGCUCCAGUCUGAGGAUGAGGCUGACUAUUACUGUAUGAUCUGGCACAGCAGCGCUUCUCACAGUGACACACACAGAUGGGGAACUGGGACGAAAACCUCGCGCUGA